rnacentral:rRNA from 1 species
UACGUAGGUGGCAAGCGUUAUCCGGAUUUACUGGGUGUAAAGGGCGUGUAGGCGGGACUGCAAGUCAGAUGUGAAACCCAUGGGCUCAACCCAUGGCCUGCAUUUGAAACUGUAGUUCUUGAGUGAUGGAGAGGCAGGCGGAAUUCCGUGUGUAGCGGUGAAAUGCGUAGAUAUAUGGAGGAACACCGGUGGCGAAAGCAGCUCUCUGGUCUGUAACUGGCGCUGAGGCUCGAAAGCGUGGGUAGCGAACAGG